UUUUGCCUCGGGACGCAGCAGUGGGGAAUAUUGCGCAAUGGGCGAAAGCCUGACGCAGCGACGCCGCGUGAGGGAUGAAGGUCUUCGGAUCGUAAACCUCUGUCAGCAGGGAAGAACGGUCACUGUGCUAAUCAGCAGUGAAUUGACGGUACCUGCAAAGGAAGCACCGGCUAACUCCGUGCCAGCAGCCGCGGUAAUACGGAGGGUGCGAGCGUUAAUCGGAAUUACUGGGCGUAAAGCGCUCGUAGGCGGUAUGUCAAGUCAAGGGUGAAAUCCCCGCGCUCAACGGGGGAACUGCCUUUGAA
rnacentral:rRNA from 1 species